AGUUGAAAAGAACUUUGAAGAGAGAGUUCAAGAGUACGUGAAACCGCUCAGGGGUAAACGGAGAAGAUCUGAAUAUCCGAAAGAGGAGAUUCACGUCUUACCACUUGUUCAACUUUAAAGUGCUUUUGAGAUGGUAAUUCGCCCUAUCCAGUGUAUACUGUGAUAGAGGGUUUUAUUGCUCGCAUUUUAUUUAAGUAAUGUACAGUGGUGGAUCGCACUUCUCCUUUAGUAGGACGUUGCGACCUGUCAGAUAAUACUCUAAGUAUGGUUAAAGUGUCUAUUUAAAGGUUAUAAAUUAAUAAUUUAUUACCCUUUUUAUAGCUUUAAUCAAUUCUACUGAGUGUUUUUUUUUCUGACAGUAACGACUGAUGGUGUAGAGCCACUUAAGCAUUUUAUAAUGUAAAAGUGUCUAAAUUAUAUUGCCGUUUACAAGUGGGUUUUAGGUAUUAGUUAAAUGUCCAACUUUUGUUCGUCUAACUAAGCCGCCUACUGUUUGUAAACUGUG
rnacentral:rRNA from 1 species